AUAGGCUUCGGCUUAGCGUCUUAGCAGGCGAUUCCUCCACGGCGCUCGAAGCGCGUCGUGGUAUUUCGCGUAUUGUAAUUUCAACACGAGCGGGGUCAAAUCCUUUGCAGACGACUUANCUGUGCGAAACGGUCCUGUAAGCAGUAGAGUAGCCUUGUUGUUACGAUCUGCUGAGGGUAAGCCGUCCUUCGCCUCGAUUUCCCCAACGA
rnacentral:rRNA from 1 species